UACGGGGGGAGCAAGCGUUGCUCGGAUUUACUGGGCGUAAAGGGCGCGUAGGCGGUCACUACAAGUCAGCUGUGAAAUCUCCGGGCUUAACUCGGAACGGUCAGCUGAUACUGUCGGACUAGAGUGCAGAAGGGGCAACUGGAAUUCUCGGUGUAGCGGUGAAAUGCGUAGAUAUCGAGAGGAACACCUGCGGCGAAGGCGGGUUGCUGGGCUGACACUGACGCUGAGGCGCGAAAGCUAGGGGAGCGAACGGG
rnacentral:rRNA from 1 species